UACAGAGGGUGCAAGCGUUGUUCGGAAUUAUUGGGCGUAAAGCGCGUGUAGGCGGCUUUGCAAGUCGGGUGUGAAAGCCCUCAGCUCAACUGAGGAAGUGCGCCCGAAACUGCGAGGCUUGAGUACCGGAGAGGAUGGCGGAAUUCCCCAAGUAGAGGUGAAAUUCGUAGAUAUGGGGAGGAACACCGGUGGCGAAGGCGGCCAUCUGGACGGAUACUGACGCUGAGACGCGAAAGCGUGGGGAGCAAACAGGG
rnacentral:rRNA from 1 species